CCCUUAGAUGUUCUGGGCCGCACGCGUGCUACACUGAGUGGAUCAGCGGGUCAGGUUGCGCGAAAGUGUUUCCUAAUCUUUAAAUCCGCUCGUGAUGGGGAUUGACGGUUGCAAUUUUCUGUCAUGAACGAGGAAUACCUUGUAAGCGCGGGUCAUCAUCCCGCGCUGAAUACGUCCCGGCCCUUUGUACACACCGCCCGUCGCUCCUACCGAUUGAGUGGUCCGGUGAGGCUUUGGGAUCUGAGCGGAAAGAGCGUUUCGCUGUUUCUGCUCGGAAAACUCAGUCGAACCUUAUCAUUUAGAGGAAGGAGAAGUCGUAACA
rnacentral:rRNA from 1 species